UACGGGGGGGGGCAAGCUUGUUCGGAAUUACUGGGCGUAAAGGGCUCGUAGGUGGCCAACUAAGUCAGACGUGAAAGCCCCCGGCUCAACCGGGGAACUGCACGGGAAACUAGCAGGCUUGAGUUCGGGAGAGGGAAGCGGAAUUUCGGGUGUAGCGGUGAAAUGCGCAGAUAUCCGAAGGAACACCGGUGGCGAAGGCGGCUUCCUGGACCCGACACUGACGCUGAGGCGCGAAAGCUAGGGGAGCAAA
rnacentral:rRNA from 1 species